rnacentral:rRNA from 1 species
AGCGAACGCUGGCGGCAGGCUUAACACAUGCAAGUCGAGCGGGCAUAGCAAUAUGUCAGCGGCAGACGGGUGAGUAACGCGUGGGAACGUACCUUUUGGUUCGGAACAACAUAGGGAAACUUGUGCUAAUACCGGAUAAGCCCUUACGGGGAAAGAUUUAUCGCCGAAAGAUCGGCCCGCGUCUGAUUAGCUAGUGGGUGAGGUAAUGGCUCACCAAGGCGACGAUCAGUAGCUGGUCUGGGAGGAUGAGCAGCCACAUUGGGACUGGGACACGGCCCAAACUCCUACGGAGGGCAGCAGUGGGGAAUAUGGGCCAUGGGGCGAAAGCCUGACCCACCCUGGCCGGGGGGGGGAUGAAGGCCCUAGGGUUUUAAAGCUCUUUUGGGCGGGAAGAAAAUGCCGGUACCGAAAAAAAAAGCCCCGGCUACUUUCGG